GAUGAAGAACGCAGUGAAAUGCGAUAAGUAAUGUGAAUUGCAGAAUUCAGUGAAUCAUCGAAUCUUUGAACGCACAUUGCGCCCCUUGGUAUUCCGAGGGGCAUGCCUGUUCGAGCGUCAUUAUAACCCCUCAAGCUCAGCUUGGUGUUGGGGCCUGCUGCACUGGCAGCCCUUAAAAUCAGUGGCGGCGCCAUCUGGCUCUAAGCGUAGUAAUUCUUCUCGCUAUGGAGUCCUGGUGGAUGCUUGCCAUCAACCCCCAAUUUUUCUAUGGUUGACCUCGGAUCAGGUAGGGAUACCCGCUGAACUUAAGCAUAUCAAUAAGCGGAGA
rnacentral:misc_RNA from 1 species